GCCGGGAUAGCUCAGUUGGUAGAGCAGAGGACUGAAAAUCCUCGUGUCAGGUUGAACUG
rnacentral:tRNA from 1 species